CCUACGGGUGGCAGCAGUGAGGAAUAUUGGUCAAUGGACGAGAGUCUGAACCAGCCAAGUAGCGUGAAGGAUGACUGCCCUAUGGGUUGUAAACCUCUUUUAUCAAGGAAUAAAACGAGGCACGUGUGCCUUUUUGCAUGUACUUUAUGAAUAAGGAUCGGCUAACUCCGUGCCAGCAGCCGCGGUAAUACGGAGGAUCCGAGCGUUAUCCGGAUUUAUUGGGUUUAAAGGGUGCGUAGGCGGGUUGUUAAGUCAGGUGUGAAAGUUUGCGGCUCAACCGUAAAAUUGCAAUUGAUACUGGCGGUCUUGAGUGCGGUUGAGGUAGGCGGAAUGCGUGGUGUAGCGGUGAAAUGCAUAGAUAUCACGAAGAACCCCGAUUGCGAAGGCAGCAUACUAACCUGUGACUGACAUUGAUGCUCGAAAGUGUGGGUAUCGAACAGGAUUAGAUACCCUUGUAGUC
rnacentral:rRNA from 1 species